GACGAACGCUGGCGGCGUGCCUAACACAUGCAAGUCGAGCGGGGUUGAAGCGAGGGGUAACUCGGACUUCUACCUAGCGGCGGACGGGUGAGUAACGCGUGGGCAACCUGCCUCAAGGUUUGGGAUAACAGCUCGAAAGGGCUGCUAAUACCGGAUAUGCCUGUGGCCUCGCAUGGGGCUAUGAGCAAAGGGGAAACCCGCCUUGAGAUGGGCCCGCGUCCCAUCAGCUAGUUGGUGAGGUGAAGGCUCACCAAGGCGACGACGGGUAGCCGGCCUGAGAGGGUGACCGGCCACACUGGGACUGAGACACGGCCCAGACUCCUACGGGGGGCAGCAGUGGGGGAUCUUGCACAAUGGGCGAAAGCCUGAUGCAGCGACGCCGCGUGAGCGAAGAAGGCCUUCGGGUUGUAAAGUCUCUGUCGUGGUAGGGACGGAAACGAAAUAGACGGUACCGUCCGGACGGAAGCCGACCGGGCCUAACGUAACGUUACGCCACGCACGGCCGACCGGUAAAACGUACGACGUACCGCGUCG
rnacentral:rRNA from 1 species